rnacentral:rRNA from 1 species
GACGAACGCUGGCGGCGCGCCUAACACAUGCAAGUCGAACGAGGUUGAGAGGAGCUUGCUUUUCUUGACUUAGUGGGCGAACGGGUGAGUAACGCGUGAGGAACCUUGCCUCGAAAGAGGGGGACAACAGUUGGAAACGACUGCUAAUACCGCAUAAGCCCAGUAGCUCCGCAUGGAGACAGUAGGGAAAAGGAGUGAUCCGCUUUGAGAUGGCCUCGCGUCCGAUUAGCUAGUUGGUGAGGUAACGGCCCACCAAGGCGACGAUCGGUAGCCGGACUGAGAGGUUGAUCGGCCACAUUGGGACUGAGACACGGCCCAG